rnacentral:rRNA from 1 species
UACGUAGGGGGCUAGCGUUGUCCGGAAUCAUUGGGCGUAAAGAGCGUGUAGGCGGCCAGGUAAGUCCGGUGUGAAAACUCGAGGCUUAACCUCGAGAUGUCAUCGGAAACUAUUUGGCUAGAGUCCGGAAGAGGAGAGUGGAAUUCCUGGUGUAGCGGUGAAAUGCGCAGAUAUCAGGAGGAACACCAAUAGCGAAGGCAGCUCGCUGGGACGGUAUUGACGCUGAGGCGCGAAAGCGUGGGGAGCAAACAGG